rnacentral:tRNA from 13 species
GCGCCCGUAGCUCAGCUGGAUAGAGCGUUGGCCUCCGGAGCCAAAGGUCGAAGGUUCGAAUCCUUUCGGGCGCACCA